rnacentral:rRNA from 1 species
CUGAAUUUUGCUCGCUGGAAUCGUCUUCCGUGCUGGYCCAUGUGUCACUUGGUUGRAGCWGCCCUUCAUGGUGGGAGACCCCCCCGUUCCGUGAUGAACCCCARUGCUCUUCUGACRCUCUCAGUUGUUUGAGUUGUUUGUCAAUGUGCUGGAUUGUCCGUCAAAUUCCAUCUAUUGCUGAUAUUGGCGAGAGACCRAUUACUGUGAAUACCGUGAAGRAAARAUUAAAAGCACUUUGGAAACAGAGUUAACAAUUGUUGAAAUUGUUGAAAAGUGAACGAUUGAUGUCAUUUGUGCGUGGCUGCUCUCUGCUCUGGUUCCUCUGUGCUUUUCCGUGCCUUUGUCGGUUUUUGCCGUUUCACAAGGCGUGUAARAGCGUGASACUUGKGACUGCUAUAGGUGUGUUAAAAUCUCUUGCGSAAUACCCCACGACUGASASAUCAGCCUCGCACGCCGCMAGGMMRASACUCUAGUCUCUGCCCGCUAACGAUGACCGUGAAAUGGCUUUAAACGACCCGUCUUGAAAC